AGAGUUUGAUCCUGGCUCAGAUUGAACGCUGGCGGCAUGCUUAAUACAUGCAAGUCGAACGGUAACAGGCAUUAGUGAUCCCUUCGGGGUGAUCUUGGCGCUGACGAGUGGCGAACGGGUGAGUAAUGCUUGGGAAUCUGCCCUGUAGUGGGGGACAACCCGAGGAAACUCGGGCUAAUACCGCGUAAGCUCCACGGGGGAAAGCGGGGGAUCUUAGGACCUCGCGCUAUAGGAUGAGCCCAAGUCGGAUUAGCUUGUUGGUGGGGUAAUGGCCUACCAAGGCGACGAUCCGUAGCUGGUCUGAGAGGACGAUCAGCCACACUGGGACAGAGACACGGCCCAGACUCCUACGGGAGGCAGCAGUGGGGAAUAUUGGACAAUGGGCGCAAGCCUGAUCCAGCAAUGCCGCGUGUGUGAAGAAGGCCUGCGGGUUGUAAAGCACUUUCAGUGGGGAAGACAAACUCGAGGUUAAUACCCUCGGGUCUCGACGUUACCCACAGAAGAAGCACCGGCCAACUCCGUGCCAGCAGCCGCGGUAAUACGGAGGGUGCGAGCGUUAAUCGGAAUUACUGGGCGUAAAGCGCACGCAGGUGGCUGGGUCAGUCGGUUGUGAAAUCCCCGGGCUUAACCUGGGAAUUGCGAUCGAAACUGCCCGGCUAGAGUAUGGGAGAGGGAAGUGGAAUUCCCGGUGUAGCGGUGAAAUGCAUAGAUAUCGGGAGGAACACCAGUGGCGAAGGCGGCUUCCUGGCCCAAUACUGACACUCAGGUGCGAAAGCGUGGGGAGCAAACAGGAUUAGAUACCCUGGUAGUCCACGCCGUAAACGAUGAGAACUAGAUGUCGGGGGGGAUUAGCCCCUCGGUGUCGCAGCUAACGCAUUAAGUUCUCCGCCUGGGGAGUACGCCGGCAACGGUAAAACUCAAAGGAAUUGACGGGGACCCGCACAAGCGGUGGAGCAUGUGGUUUAAUUCGAUGCAACGCGAAGAACCUUACCUGCCCUUGACAUCCUCGGAACUUGGCAGAGAUGCCUUGGUGCCUUCGGGAACCGAGUGACAGGUGCUGCAUGGCUGUCGUCAGCUCGUGUCGUGAGAUGUUGGGUUAAGUCCCGCAACGAGCGCAACCCUUGUCCCUAGUUG
rnacentral:rRNA from 1 species